CAGUCCAUGCCUGAAGGUGGUCCUCGAAGGCGUUCUGAUCUGGUUCGACAACUUCCACCACAUCAGGUGGGGUUUCAGUGAUCUGAAGUCAACAGCUGCGGCUCCCGUCGGUACUCGGUGGAUGCCUGGAUGCUGCUGUUGUGUGCAAAGAGAAUUACCUUCAGAUUGUUCGCCCACCCUUCCUGGUACCAAUCAAGGGACUUGCCCAUGGCAUUCUUGUCGGUCUGGUUAGUCCAUUCACCAAACCAGGAGGCUGGGGUAGGAAAGCGAUAUCUAUUGACAAUUGUUCAUGACCUCGGUCACUCAAGAUGACCUCAGGAGAACUGUGGGUGUUGAAGAUGUCCAUCAUUGCCUUGGAGGUGGCCUCGACAGGCUCGUCCUUGAUGGAUAUCAUACAAAACGAAAAUCCAUUGGCUUGUAGAGACUUUUGCUUCUAUUUUAGGCAUACUUCUUUCAGACUGAAUAUCCAUAGGGUAACAGUCUGAUGUUUAAGCAAGUCCCCUAAUGACUGAGGUGAAUGAAAUUGCAGAAACAAGGUGAUAAUGUCUGGAGUCAAUUUUGCUUGUUUUUGCUCUUCUUCAAAUUGUGUUUUAAAAUUGUGUAGAAAUGCAGUAAAUAAAUUAGCUUAAUUGUUUUGCGGAAAUGAGGCCCCUGGAUGCGCAGGGGCUUCAAACGAGCACCCCAUCAGUCAUUUAUGGUUAAUACAUAUCAUUGGGUGGAACAUACAGUUCUCUUUCGAUGUCCCUCCUGGAGAUGCAGGUUUUUGGAUCAAAAUCCCUUCACGUU